rnacentral:rRNA from 1 species
UACAGAGGGUGCAAGCGUUAAUCGGAAUUACUGGGCGUAAAGGCGCGCGUAGGUGGUUCGUUAAGUUGGAUGUGAAAUCCCCGGGCUCAACUCGGGAACUGCGAUUCAAACUGUCGAGCUAGAGUAUGGUAGAGGGUGGUGGAAUUUCCUGGUGUAGCGGUGAAAUGCGUAGAUAUAGGAAGGAACACCAGUGGCGGAAGGC